rnacentral:lncRNA from 1 species
GAUUCUCUCUGAUUUUUUUGAAAGCACAAAGAGGCUUCAUAUUUAAUUUAUAGUAUUAUAUAAGCUGCUGCUGCUGCUGGGGUGUGUGUGUGUGUGUGUGUGUGUGUGUGUGUGUGUGUGUGUGUCUUCCAGCAUAAUCCUGACUGUGGUAGUUUGGAUUUUGCAUUAUGGGGGCAACCACCAUUCUAGCAUCUGAAUACUCAUUCUAGAGGGCUAAAUCCAUGAGAGCAAAAGUAUAGAAACAAUUUUGCAGUGCUGGUGGCAUUUCCCUUGCCUAUAAAACCAAUUUUAACUGCACAAAACCCUCAGCACAUUGCAUGUGGGAAAUGCAGUGGCUGCACAUUAAGCUGUUACGAAUAACUGCUGUUGGGAUGGAAUGAAAUGGAAACAAAUCUGCAUUUUAUUUGCACUCUCUCUGCAAUUCCAUGCCAUCCAGACUGCAGUUACGUUCUGUGCACAGCAACACCGCCAAAAAGGGCAACAACUCUGUGAGCACAUUGUCUUGUAAGGAGAGAGGAACCGUGCACACUACCCAAAACAACCAGUAAAAUAAAGAGGAGUCACUCAGCCAUGAAAUAUGACCUGUUCCACCUUGGGACGGAGUUUUACUGUUGUUACCCAAGCUGGAGUGCAAUGGCACAAUCUCGGCUCACCGCAACCUCCGCCUUCUGGGUUCAAGCAAUUCUCCUGCCUCAGCCUCCCGAGUAGCUGGGACUACAGGAUGAAAUAA